CAAAGGUUUAUUUGCAUGACGCACAAACAGACACAAUUGAAAGGUACAAAUGUGCAUGACACGAAUUCAAACGUGCUGCAGAUGUGUGUCACCAGUUGAUCUGGCUGUAGGCUGUGGCACUUGGCCAGAGGUGGCGCUGGUUGACUCGACUCCAUGUUGGUGCACAGAGCAAACUGCUCGCUUUAGUUGUGGAGCAAAAACGCUGAAUUCGGUGAAAUAAACCGUGCGAGUGGAACGAUAACGACGACAAGGGUCUCCCGAUCGUUUACUCUUGCUGUCCUGUGAACAACAACGGCGUGGUGUUACUUGUUUGCUGUUUUCGCGAUCGAGUCGCGCAUGAGGAUAUCACCAGGAGCUCCUGAAACGCAAGACUGCCACACAUCUGUUCGACCAACGCCAGUUGAUCUAAACGCCAGUUGAUCUGGAACACCGGAGAGCAGAGGCAGUCGCUCGUUAAGCUUAACGUGGGAAUGCUUUACAAACAUUCAGAGAUGGACUUACACACUUGCUUUACUUCUCUCGGGGAUAACUUUGUCAGAGAUGAAAUGCCAGGUUGCUAGCGAAGCUCCACAUGCUAUCCAGACCACCGACAGGUCCCGCAUGCCACAGCUGCUCUAUCACGUGAUGCAUACUGCUCCGACUGCUAACGUUCUGAGUAAAUCCUAAGAGAAGAUCAGAACCAUCAAUGAAUAAACAGUUUGUAUGACAGCCAAUAAUAACAAUAUCAUAAUAAUGACAAAAAUAUUGGCAUUGGCCAGUGGUACCUCUCCACCUCCUAGUAGAUAAACCUUUCAAUUUCAAAUCAAUUGCAAUAUUCUAUGUUGCUUUAGGCAAGUUACCUAAAAUCCAAUAAAUCAGACAAUAUUUAUGUUUCUUGCAUGAAACAAUAGAUUGCAAACCUGGAAGUCAUUAAUAUGCAAACACAAUGAAAUCUUUAAAUCCUCACAUGAAAAAAAGGAUUGUUUGACCAUCAAAACUUGUAUUUGGUGUAAAUUUGCAGAACAGGCUAUAUGACUACUAGCAAGCUUGUCCACUAUAUCAUUGUAGUCUGUCUGUCAGUGCGCCCCAGGGUGGCUGUGGCUACAAUGUAGCUUGCCAUCACCAGUGUGUGAAUGUGUGUGCGAAUGGGUGGAUGACAGGUUGUGUAAAGCGCUUUAGGGUCCUUAGGGACUAGAAAAGCGCUAUACAAAUACAGGCCAUUUACCUUUUUUUUUUUUUUUUUUUACCAUUAUGCCCAAGUAGCUGAAGAGACUUAAGUAUGGGAACAUAUUGAAAUGUUUUGUUGAACCUUGCCUCUAGAACAUACUCAACAGGUUCCACAACAUUAAACUUUUCCUCACAGAAUUGCUUAAGUUUGAAAUCUGAUGCUAGUGGACGUCCCUUAGAUUUAGCUUGGACCAAAGGACUGUUGCUAGAAAUGGCAAGGCUGAGUUCCUUAAUUAUAACCUGAAGAUUAUACUUAAAAAAAUCUCAACCGUUGUAUUAUGUGAUAUCAGUGCUGUAGCAGAGGCAAAAAUGAAACCUUCAAGUAACUUUUGAGAAAUUGGACAAGCCAAUUUUUUAAUCAAUUUUUCAUUUGGUACAACUUCA
ensembl:lncRNA